rnacentral:misc_RNA from 1 species
UGAUGGUAGGUGUUACUAUGUCUCUAAAAAGGUGUGGUGUAGUACCUUGUUAAGUGAAACCAAAGGGAUAUCGUGUCUUUCUUCACUAAAAAGCAAGAGUCUGAGAGGAUCCGUUGCAAGAUGAUUAAAUUAUAUUUCUGGAUUAUUCUAUUUACUCUUGGCAUUUUUGCGCAAGAAACUACAUACAGAAAUGUUCCAACAACACUUCGAGAAUGUUACGAAAGUAAAUAUCUUUUAGAAAAAGAUUAUAGAUUGCCCCAUACUUUGAAUACAUUAAUCGCGAUUCUUCAAAAAAUCGAAAAUGCAAAAAAUUUGAACAUGGAUUUACGAGCUUUAACUGUUGGAAUUAUGCAUAGAUUUCGUCAAGAUGGAGUAGAAAAAAAUCCAAAUGUCGUAGAGCAGUCUGGUGUAUUACCUUACAGAGCAGGUGCCCAGGCUCAGAAAUAUUUACAAAUAGCACGUUUUAUACCCAAAAGGACAGAUAACAUUCCUUCUUACAACAUGCUCACUGCUAUUGAAAGGUGUACUCUUCAUUUUAUGCUGUCUAGCAGCAUUGAGAUGCUGCAAAGAGAGGACGAAAAUACAGCAUGCAGAUAUGCUGACAACGCCUAUAGAAUUGCAAGAAGUGUAACUGGCAAUUAUCCGCUUAAGACAAAUUUAGAUGUACACGAUGAUGUAGAAACCUUGUCACCUGAACAAAUUAAUGUUAUUACAAAUAACAAACAUGGAGUUACGGAACAUGCAGUUGAUCCGAACGCUAUGUAUCCGGAAUUGCCACCGAAUCAUCCGAAAAUUGCUCGGUAUUCCGAACAGCCUUUGAUAAGCAAAUGUCCUGUGGAGAACGGCGUUAUAAAAACUACCUGGGGUCCAGUUUCUGCCGGGCCGCUAAUCGCUGGUAUAGCUGCUGGACUGCAACCUGAAAUUGUAACACUCUCGGAAUUAUUCCCCGACGAAAAAGACCCAAACAGAAAAAGAAAUCUAUCAAUAUUGUCAUUGGAUAAUAAAUGGAUAGCAACUGUAGCUGGUGAUUUAGCUGAAGUUACCUUAAUACAAGGCCCUAUAACCAAUGGUCCUAAAAAUAACAAGUUAAGCGUAGGUGUAAACGGCAAUUGGAAUUCAUCGACUAUGCCCCAUUGGUAUUUUCUACAAUCUAAUAAGAACUUAGAAUUUACUACAGCGGAAAUCAGGGGAGACAUUGACGGAUUCAUUCUCGCUGGAAAAAUUGAAGACUUGUAUUCUAAAGUGCCUCGACUAAGAUUGUCACAGAUUUUAGAUCUGUAUUAUAGUCCCCGCGGAUUGUUCAAUUCUGUGAUUAGGGCAUGUAAUCGCAAAACGUUUUUUCAAACAUUGAUAUCAAAAGAGACAUUGACUGCACAGACCUACUGUUCUUCUUUAGUCUUGGAAGAAUAUUUACAUAGAGCUACAAUAAGUGAUGAUAAGAUGAAGAACUUUGCAAAACAAGCAACAGAGGAACUGGCUCGCUACAUUGAGGAAUCAAUGAAUAAGGAUUUAUCAUGUCACGAGACAGAAACAGGAUUCCAUAAUGAUAUUAUUCAGGUUGCUAUUGAUUUAACAAUUAUUCUCGAUACAACAUGGCCUUUUAUUGAUAUACAACCAAUACUUGCGGACAUAUUGGAUAAUAUCAAAAUAAAUCCAUACAACAGUCAAUUCACAAUUAUGAAUGGAGGUGAUGGCAGUAUUAUGUUAAAUACUACCAACAGUAUUUUAGACUUCGGUUAUUUUAAUAUGACGAAUUAUACAAAUGGUAUAAGCGGCUUCGAUCUUCCUAAAUCACUCGAACAACUACAUAUUUUGCAAAAAAAGAAACUGAACGAUGAACGAUCUAGUUUUGGACACGGGAAAUCUGAUGUAGUUUUAAUUAUUCCAUUUACAACAACUCUUUCAGAAACCGACAAGCAAUACUGUAAAGAAAAGAUCAAGACCAUGCGAGAAAAAGUACCAGAUGCUACGUUACUUAUAUUGACUUAUGGAACAAAAGACAGAUGGACAGAACUUGUACGUGAUCCAGCAAAUGAUUUAUUUUCCACAAGCGUUUCUGGCGAUAUAGGAAGUUCAAUAGCGAUUGCCAAUUUAAUUUCGAGGAUAAAACAAGUCCCACAACGCUUGAUCAAUACAAGAUGUGGAGCCGAUUAUUCUCCUGCUGGAUCUACAAAUUCGUUUAUCGAUUAUAUUGAACCGAAUACAGUAGUUUCUUACAGGAUGCACCCUAAUUAUUUCUUUUCUACCGACAAUGACUAUGUUGCCAAAAUAAAGAUUGAAGGAUCUGGUUGGGGUAACUUAAAACUUGAUACAUCUUUGUGAUCCUCAAUAUCUAUUAAUAGUUGCCAAUACACUCGAUAAUUCUUCGAUUACAAAUUUUCAAUGUUCAGAUCCAGCUGUGUGCAGAUUUCCUCAUAUGAUUAAGUACACCAUUUCCUAU